UACGAAGGGGGCUAGCGUUGUUCGGAAUUACUGGGCGUAAAGCGCUCGUAGGUGGUUUGUCGCGUUGUUCGUGAAAACUCACAGCUUAACUGUGGGCGUGCGGGCGAUACGGGCAGACUGGAGUACUGCAGGGGAGACUGGAAUUCCUGGUGUAGCGGUGGAAUGCGCAGAUAUCAGGAGGAACACCGGUGGCGAAGGCGGGUCUCUGGGCAGUAACUGACGCUGAGGAGCGAAAGCGUGGGGAGCGAACAGG
rnacentral:rRNA from 1 species